rnacentral:rRNA from 1 species
AGCCCGCUCAAGAAACUUAAUGAAUUGACGGGGCCGCACAAGCGGAGGAGCAUGUGGUUAAUUCGAUGAUACGCGAGGAACCUUACCUGGGCUCGAACGUAAGAUGACUGUAGGUGAAAGCUUACAUCUCUUCGGAGCAUUUUACGAGGUGCUGCAUGGUUGUCGUCAGCUCGUGCCGUGAGGUGUCGGGUUAAGUCCCAUAACGAGCGCAACCCCUACCUUUAGUUGCCAUCAGGUUAAGCUGGGGACUCUAAAGGAACUGCCUACGCAAGUAGUGAGGAAGGCGGGGAUGACGUCAAAUCAGCACGGCCCUUACGUCCAGGGCUACACACGUGCUACAAUGGCCGAUACAGAGGGCAGCUACCUGGUGACAGGAUGCAAAUCUCCAAAGUCGGUCUCAGUUCGGAUCGGAGUCUGCAACCCGACUCCGUGAAGUUGGAUUCGCUAGUAAUCGCGCAUCAGCCAUGGCGCGGUGAAUACGUUCCCGGGCCUU